AGGGUUUGAUCAUGGCUCAGAUUGAACGCUGGCGGCAUGCUUUACACAUGCAAGUCGGACGGCAGCAUAAAAGAGCUUGCUCUUUUGAUGGCGAGUGGCGAACGGGUGAGUAAUGCAUCGGAACGUACCGAGUAGUGGGGGAUAACUGUCCGAAAGGAUGGCUAAUACCGCAUAUUCUCUGAGGAGGAAAGCAGGGGACCUUAGGGCCUUGCGCUAUUUGAGCGGCCGAUGUCUGAUUAGCUAGUUGGUGGGGUAAGAGCCCACCAAGGCGACGAUCAGUAGCGGGUCUGAGAGGAUGAUCCGCCACACUGGGACUGAGACACGGCCCAGACUCCUACGGGAGGCAGCAGUGGGGAAUCUUCGGCAAUGGGAGGAACCCUGACCGAGCAACGCCGCGUGAGUGAAGAAGGUUUUCGGAUCGUAAAGCUCUGUUGUAAGAGAAGAACGUGUGUGAGAGUGGAAAGUUCACACAGUGACGGUAACUUACCAGAAAGGGACGGCUAACUACGUGCCAGCCGCCGCGGUAAUAC
rnacentral:rRNA from 1 species